CUCGGGAGCCGGGAGGUUCCUCAGCCCAGAUUGCAAGAGGGUGCAGGCCAGGCCAAGGGACCCCACCAGUGCACA
rnacentral:pre_miRNA from 1 species